GGCCUGAUGGCUCAGUUGGUAAAGUACUUGCCUGAAGCAAUUUUGUUGAGGUCUAGAGUUCAAUCCUCUCUGGUUG